CACACCGCCCGUCACACCAUGGGAGUUGGUUUACCUGAACGACGGUGCGCUAACCAGCAAUGGAGGCAGCCGGCCACGGUAGGGUCAGCGACUGGGGUG
rnacentral:rRNA from 1 species